UAGGCCUAAAAGCAGCCACCAAUAAAGAAAGCGUUCAAGCUCAACAUAAAAUUUCAAUUAAUUCCAUAAUUUACACCAACUUCCUAAACUUAAAAUUGGGUUAAUCUAUAACUUUAUAGAUGCAACACUGUUAGUAUGAGUAACAAGAAUUCCAAUUCUCCAGGCAUACGCGUAUAACAACUCGGAUAACCAUUGUUAGUUAAUCAGACUAUAGGCAAUAAUCACACUAUAAAUAAUCCACCUAUAACUUCUCUGUUAACCCAACACCGGAAUGCCUAAAGGAAAGAUCCAAAAAGAUAAAAGGAACUCGGCAAACAAGAACCCCGCCUGUUUACCAAAAACAUCACCUCUAGCAUUACAAGUAUUAGAGGCACUGCCUGCCCAGUGACUAAAGUUUAACGGCCGCGGUAUCCUGACCGUGCAAAGGUAGCAUAAUCACUUGUUCCUUAAUUAGGGACUAGCAUGAACGGCUAAACGAGGGUCCAACUGUCUCUUAUCUUUAAUCAGUGAAAUUGACCUUUCAGUGAAGAGGCUGAAAUAUAAUAAUAAGACGAGAAGACCCUAUGGAGCUUAAAUUAUAUAACUUAUCUAUUUAAUUUAUUAAACCUAAUGGCCCAAAAACUAUAGUAUAAGUUUGAAAUUUCGGUUGGGGUGACCUCGGAGAAUAAAAAAUCCUCCGAAUGAUUAUAACCUAGACUUACAAGUCAAAGUAAAAUCAACAUAUCUUAUUGACCCAGAUAUAUUUUGAUCAACGGACCAAGUUACCCUAGGGAUAACAGCGCAAUCCUAUUUAAGAGUUCAUAUCGACAAUUAGGGUUUACGACCUCGAUGUUGGAUCAGGACAUCCCAAUGGUGUAGAAGCUAUUAAUGGUUCGUUUGUUCAACGAUUAAAGUCCUACGUGAUCUGAGUUCAGACCGGAGCAAUCCAGGUCGGUUUCUAUCUAUUUACGAUUUCUCCCAGUACGAAAGGACAAGAGAAAUAGAGCCACCUUACAAAUAAGCGCUCUCAACUUAAUUUAUGAAUAAAAUCUAAAUAAAAUAUAUACGUACAACCUUCUCUAGGUUAGAGGGUGUACGUAUAUAUUUUAUUUAGAUUUUAUUCAUAAAUUAAGUUGAGAGCGCUUAUUUGUAAGGUGGCUCUAUUUCUCUUGUCCUUUCGUACUGGGAGAAAUCGUAAAUAGAUAGAAACCGACCUGGAUUGCUCCGGUCUGAACUCAGAUCACGUAGGACUUUAAUCGUUGAACAAACGAACCAUUAAUAGCUUCUACACCAUUGGGAUGUCCUGAUCCAACAUCGAGGUCGUAAACCCUAAUUGUCGAUAUGAACUCUUAAAUAGGAUUGCGCUGUUAUCCCUAGGGUAACUUGGUCCGUUGAUCAAAAUAUAUCUGGGUCAAUAAGAUAUGUUGAUUUUACUUUGACUUGUAAGUCUAGGUUAUAAUCAUUCGGAGGAUUUUUUAUUCUCCGAGGUCACCCCAACCGAAAUUUCAAACUUAUACUAUAGUUUUUGGGCCAUUAGGUUUAAUAAAUUAAAUAGAUAAGUUAUAUAAUUUAAGCUCCAUAGGGUCUUCUCGUCUUAUUAUUAUAUUUCAGCCUCUUCACUGAAAGGUCAAUUUCACUGAUUAAAGAUAAGAGACAGUUGGACCCUCGUUUAGCCGUUCAUGCUAGUCCCUAAUUAAGGAACAAGUGAUUAUGCUACCUUUGCACGGUCAGGAUACCGCGGCCGUUAAACUUUAGUCACUGGGCAGGCAGUGCCUCUAAUACUUGUAAUGCUAGAGGUGAUGUUUUUGGUAAACAGGCGGGGUUCUUGUUUGCCGAGUUCCUUUUAUCUUUUUGGAUCUUUCCUUUAGGCAUUCCGGUGUUGGGUUAACAGAGAAGUUAUAGGUGGAUUAUUUAUAGUGUGAUUAUUGCCUAUAGUCUGAUUAACUAACAAUGGUUAUCCGAGUUGUUAUACGCGUAUGCCUGGAGAAUUGGAAUUCUUGUUACUCAUACUAACAGUGUUGCAUCUAUAAAGUUAUAGAUUAACCCAAUUUUAAGUUUAGGAAGUUGGUGUAAAUUAUGGAAUUAAUUGAAAUUUUAUGUUGAGCUUGAACGCUUUCUUUAUUGGUGGCUGCUUUUAGGCCUACAAUGGUUAAAAGCUGUUUUGUUAAUUAUUCACUAUUAAAGGUUUUUUCCGUUCCAGAAGAGCUGUCCCUCUUUUGGCUAUAAUCUAAACUUACUUUUUGAUUUUGUUGUUUUUUUAGCAAGUUUAAAAUUGAACUUAAAUUCAUUUUUUGGGUAACCAGCUAUCACCAAGCUCGUUAGGCUUUUCACCUCUACCUAAAAAUCUUCUCACUAUUUUGCCACAUAGACGAGUUGAUUCAUAAAAUUGUUUUUAGGUAGCUCGUUUGGUUUCGGGGUUUCUAGCUGUAAUUCUUUUAGUUAGAAGUUUUCUAGUUAGUUCAUUAUGCAAAAGGUACAAGGUUUAAUCUUUGCUUGUUCUUACUUUUAAUUAGUCUUUCAUCUUUCCCUUGCGGUACUAGUUCUAUAGCUCCUAGAUGUACGAAUUUCUUUCUCCAAUACUUUUAGUAGGAUAAAUGUUUUGAUUUAUAUAAUAGUAUAAUUAUAUUUGUGUAGGGCUAGGGCUAGGAUUAGU
rnacentral:antisense_RNA from 1 species